rnacentral:lncRNA from 1 species
AUCUUAGAUGCAAACAGAGGAACAACAGCGAGCAUAUUCACACAUUUGCUCAAGCCUCUUGUCAGAAGCCAAUACCUUGUCUACCCUGGAGCUGUCCCUGGUCUCACUACCCCUGUGACCACCACCAGUAACACCAGGACUGACUCUUUGCUUCACUGAUCCCACAGACCCUGCUGGAGUCAGCAAUGAAGACCUAAAGGGGGUUCCAUGUCCUUGGCAUAGAAGCAGAAGGCCUGGGAAGGUGGACCCAAGGCUAGCAAUCUGCUUAGCAGGUGUCACAGGAAGGGGGUGAGUGUGGCUACUGAGGAUGCCCAAGGAUGUGCCCUCGCUAUCAGGCAGCAU